UACGAAGGGGGCUAGCGUUGCUCGGAAUCACUGGGCGUAAAGGGUGCGUAGGCGGGUCUUUAAGUCAGGGGUGAAAUCCUGGAGCUCAACUCCAGAACUGCCUUUGAUACUGGAGAGCUUGAGUUCGGUAGAGGUGGGUGGAACUCCUGGUGGAGUGGUGAAAUGCGUAGAGAUCAGGAAGAACACCCGUGGCGAAGGCGGCCCACUGGGCCGGUGCUGACGCUGAGGCGCGAAGGCGUGGGGAGCGAACGGG
rnacentral:rRNA from 1 species